rnacentral:rRNA from 1 species
CCUACGGGUGGCUGCAGUGAGGAAUAUUGGUCAAUGGGCGAGAGCCUGAACCAGCCACGUCGCGUGAAGGAUGAAGGAUCUAUGGUCUGUAAACUCCUUUUAUAUGGGAGUAAAGUGCGGAACGUGUUCCUUUUUCUAUGUAUCACAUCAUUAAGCAUCGGCUAAUUCCGCGUCAGCAGCCGCGGUAAUACGGAGGAUGCGAGCGUUAUCCGGAUUUAUUGGGUUUAAAGGGUGCGUAGGUGGUUAAUUAAGUCAGCGGUGAAAGUUUGUGGCUCAACCAUAAAAUUGCCGUUGAAACUGGUUGACUUGAGUAUAGUUGGGGUAGGCGGAAUGCGUGGUGUAGCGGUGAAAUGCGUAGAUAUCACGCAGAACUCCGAUGGCGAAGGCAGCUUACUAAACUAUAACUGACACUGAAGCACGAAAGCGUGGGGAGCAAACAGGAUUAGAUACCCCUGUAGUC